ACUGUUAAGAGAAAUAAAUUAAAAAAGUCCUUUUUUCAUGACAUUUUAAACAUCCAGCAUGCUCACUUUUCCUUGAUCCCAAUCUACAUGUUGGUUUUUCUUUAUUUUCUCCGGGGUGUGGUGAUGCUCAUGUAGCUGUACAGUAUUCCCAGCUGAGUCCUGCUUCUUUCCUUUGGCUGUAUUUUUCACUUUUUAAAAUCGUUUCUUCAGGGUCUUCUCCAAGUUUCUUAACAGUCGUGACAUGCCCUUCAGAGAAUGAAGGAGUUGGGUUUGUCCCUCAUCACUCAUUUCUCACUAUCUGGUCUUCCUUCCAUGUUCUGUCAGAAGGGCCAGUUGUGACCUUGCUGCUGUUUGGGCAAUAGUGCUGUGACCCCAUCUCAUUCUCAUGGCACACCAUGAACACUUGAGACACAUGGGUGACAGAUGUGGGCCCUGCCCUUGAUUUCAUCUUAUGUGGAGAACAUUAAAUGAAGCAGGUGAAAUACAGUAACUUGCUUUGACAGAAAUGUGUCUGGGGACCCCAGAAGUACAAGAGAAAGAAGGAUCGAAAUCAGGGAAUGUGAAGGCAGGCAGGUCUGGAGGGGUCAGAGUGUGCUACAUGCUAAGAGCUAGGCAUUGGGAUCCCAGCCGGUCUACAUUGUGCUCAUCCCCAGCUACAUGACUUUGGUCACAUCCCUUAUCCUUGGAGUUCAGUGUUCUUGUAUAUAAAACAGGAAGACAGACAUUGAACUAAAGCACAGGAAGCAGAGCAGACAGAAGCAAGAGGUUGACAGAAAGACCCUUGGAGGAUGUGGAAUCCCCAAACAAGGUUGGAGUUGGAGGAGAAUGUCUCCAGCAAAGGUAACAGACUGACCAGAUCAUGGUCUGGUACAGAACUAGGUGAAGUCCACGUGGCUGCAGUGGGGAGCGUGGUGGGAUUGACUGGAGUUGGAGAGAUGAGGAAUUGGGUUUCGUACUCACUUUGAGAAGUCCACCAGACAUCUAAGAGGAAAUGAUACCUAGUUGGAUGUGCAAGUCUGGAAUUCAGGGGAAUGCUAGGUCUCUCUGCAGGUAUGUGGUGCCAAUGCCUUUAAGCACAGGAACAUACCUGAGACCUGUAGUGGAACAGUGAGGUUUAUUGGCGCACUGUGAUGUGGGGCACCACACACACUGGGAAAUGCAAGACCCUCAGAGGGUGAUAGGCCAUUUUCCAGGUUCUGGGCUUUUGUCCACUUCUUUGAAGGAGAGUUUAAGGAAAUCGAGCUUUGGUCUGAAUUGGAUGCUGUCAGGUUGAGGUGUUGAUUCUAUGAGCAGAUAUCCUGAAAUUUGUUACUGUUAGGUUUGCUGAAGGAGGAAUGCAUAAGGCUGAAGCAAGAUUUAUUGUAGCAGAGUGACAGCUGGGCUGAACCAAAGAUAGCUUCAGCCCUGAAUGCGAGGGGACCUGAAACUUAUAUGGGGCUGGAGGCAUUUUUUUUGGUGGGAAUAUUUCGGUUGGGUAAAUUGGUAAUAAAGGGAGGAGAAUCCAUUGAAAGGAGAGGUGAGCAUGUAUGGUUGCCAACCCGGACGCUGCAAGGUCCGGUUUUCAUACAGCGAUAGGGGAGUAGUCAGGUUCCCACACUAUGAGGGUCGGGCCCUCCUGAACCUAACAGUUACCUACAAAGCAGGGGAAGGAAGCAGCACUAAAUAGCUGUCACUCAUCUUACCCAGAAGAAGGAGGCUAUCUGGUCAUUUCUGUUUGCACAGGUUUCUGGUUUUGUCCACUGAGACACAAUGAAAGGGUCCAUCUUUCUUUGUCUCAAUCAUGGUCACUGAGUGGCCUUGACUGAGGUUGGUGCUCUGUGAACUUGUUUAUAUUCAACAGGAGACUCCCAGAGUUUAGAGGUGAGUGCCAGACCAGCUACUAAGAACACCAUGGCCUCCAGGAUUCCCCUUCCAAUCACAACCCCUACUGUGGCAUCUAAUUUAAACCUGUGAUACAGAUAGAAGUUAGCCCCACACAGGGACUUCUGGGCAAAGUCCAUUGUGGGGAGAUCUAAGGCCAGGGCCUGCCUGCGUACUGAUGGCCCACCUGAGGAGCUGGUCACAGAGGCCUCCCUGAGAAGAGGUGCAUUUUGAAUUCACAAGUGAUACUGAUACUACCAAAUCAAGAACCCAAAUUUGGAAAUUAACGAAUUUAAGGAAUAGUUAAUGUUACUACUACACAAAGUCCCCAGGAGCGAGGUAUAUUUAUCGAUUUAAAUCUCAAGCCCCAAAGAUGAGGCAAAGCAGCCCUCCGGGAAUUAAAAAAUGGAUCCCCUGCUGGAGACCGUUGAGGACCUGGCAUUGUCUCAGGCGACCACGGAAAUAUGGACCCAUUCCCUUUAAGGUAUGCCUUGAACCCUCCCUCCAGGGCGCUUAUUUCCCCGCCUUCCCGCCCCCGGGCCACCGGCCCAUGUAUGGUUGUCAUGGAGAAGCGGGAAUGCGGCAGUUGUGGAGGUGGGUGCAGCGUGGGAACUACACUACCCAGAAGUUUCUAACCCGGCGCGUCGAUGCUGCGUCAUGACAACCCUGAAGUGGGCGCUUCCUCUUGCCCUUGUGGCAGAGGCGGGACUUCCGGCGCUGCUGGCAUGACGUAUUUAUCCUGCGCCGGAGCUGUCAGGGUCCAUUCUGGCUGUGGAGGCUCAGAGUCCUGGGUGGGGUCCGCUUCCCGCGUGGCUCUUCGGAAUCGAUCUAGGAAGGACGGUUAAAAGGAAAGGACGUCCCUUCGCGUCUCUGUUACGACCCAUGAUCCUCCGUUGGGGGACGGGCAGCUCUGCACCACGGUGUCCGGCAGGGCUGCGCUCUUUUCGAGGCCUUCGUGCCGGUAUCCUGUCUUCGUCGGCCCCCGGAGGCGGCACCCUGAGCCUUGUGCGGGGAGAGGGGUUUCGCCGUGCGACACUCCGAGGUCCCCUGACCCAGUGGAUGUGUGGAGUUACGGCUGAGCCUCGGUGUCUGCUCUCAGGAUCCGAUGGCGGCCGCGGCGCUGAUGGACCGGGCUAGGCAGGGCAGUGUGACCUUCAAGGAUGUGUUCGUGUGCUUCUCCCGGGAGGAGUGGGAGCUUCUCGAGGAGGUGCAGAGAUGCCUGUACCGUGAUGUGAUGCUGGAGAACUUUGUUCUUGUGGCCUCUCUUGAUUGUUGGCGUGAAGCAGACCAUCAGGAAGUCCCUUCUGAGCAGCACACUUCUAUAGGAGUGUCGCAGGUCAGGACUCCCAAGUCAGGCCCAUUUACCCAGAAAGCCCACCCAUGUGAGAUGUGUGACUCAUUCUUGAAAGACAUUUUGCACCUGACCGAAGAUCAAGGCUCACACCUUGUGCAGAAACUGUACACGUGUAGCCCGUGUGGGAGAGGAUUCUCAUUCUAUGCAAGCUUUGACCAGCACCACAAGCGAUAUAGUGGAGGGAACCCCUUUGGUGGGGAUGAUGGCGGGGCCUCACUUGUGGAGAGCUGUGCAGUUGACAUGUCGGGGAGACUGUUUACCUGCAGGGAGGGAGGCAUGGACUUGUACAGCUCGGGCCUCUUUCAGCACCAGACCACUUGCUGUGGGGCAAGUCCAUGCAAAAGGAUGGAGUUCAUGGAGUCUUUCCCACACAGCUCCAGCCUUGGGCAACACCAGGGGGACCAUGAUGGACUGAUGCUUUUCAAUUGCAGUGACAAUAAGAAAACCUUUUUGGACACCUUUACUCUCCUUGACAGACAGAUAACUCAUACCGAAGGGAAAUCUUUUAGAUGCUUACCAUGUGGAAAUGUGUCUAAGGAAGAAUUAGCUCUUAUUCAUCACAGAAAAAUUCACAAUGGAGAAACAUCACAUGUGUGUAAGGAGUGUGGAAAGACCUUUAUUCACUUAUCCCACCUAAAGAUGCACCAGAAAUUUCACACUGGGAAAAGACAUUAUACAUGCAGUGAAUGUGGCAAGGCCUUCAGCCGCAAAGACACACUUGUUCAGCACCAGAGAGUCCAUACUGGAGAGAGGUCUUACGACUGCAGCGAAUGUGGAAAAGCCUACAGCAGAAGCUCCCACCUUGUCCAGCACCAGAGAAUUCACACCGGAGAAAGGCCUUAUAAGUGUGGAGAAUGUGGGAAGGCCUUCAGUCGUAAAGACACACUUGUUCAGCAUCAGAGAUUUCACACUGGAGAAAGGCCUUAUGAGUGCAGUGAAUGUGGGAAAUUCUUUAGCCAAAGCUCCCACCUUAUUGAGCAUUGGAGGAUUCACACUGGGGCAAGGCCUUACGAGUGCAUUGAAUGUGGGAAAUUCUUUAGCCAUAACUCCAGCCUCAUUAAACAUCGAAGAGUCCACACGGGAGCAAGGUCUUAUGUAUGCAGCAAAUGUGGGAAGGCUUUCAGCUGCAAAGACACACUUGUCCAGCAUCAGAUAAUUCACACCGGAGCGAGGCCUUAUGAGUGCAGUGAAUGUGGGAAGGCCUUCAGCCGUAAAGACACACUUGUGCAGCACCAGAAAAUCCACACGGGAGAAAGGCCUUAUGAGUGUGGUGAGUGUGGGAAAUUCUUUAGUCACAGCUCUAACCUUAUUGUGCACCAGAGAAUCCACACUGGAGCAAAGCCUUACGAGUGUAGCGAAUGUGGGAAAUGCUUCAGCCACAACUCCAGCCUCAUUCUACACCAGAGAGUUCACAGCGGAGCAAGGCCUUAUGUGUGCAGCGAAUGUGGAAAAGCCUACAUUAGUAGCUCCCACCUUGUUCAACACAAGAAAGUUCACACUGGAGCAAGACCUUAUGAGUGCAACGAAUGUGGAAAGUUCUUUAGCCGCAACUCUAGCCUCAUUUUACACCAGAGGGUUCACACUGGAGAAAAGCCGUAUGUGUGCAGUGAAUGUGGGAAGGCCUACAGCAGGAGCUCUCAUCUUGUUCGGCAUCAGAAAGUUCACACUGGAGAAAGGCCUCAUGGAUGCAACAGUUUUGGUGGCCCUUUAGCUGCAUCUCUUAAACUUGUUUAGCUCCAGGAAGUUCACACUAAAGAACAGCCUUGUAUAUGUGGAAAAUGUGCUCUCUCCUUGUUCAGCCUCAAGACUCAAACCAGAAGAAAGCUCUGUGAGUACCUUUUGUGAGGUAGUCAGCAUGCAAACCCUGUACCUUCAUGCCUCCAUCCUGGGGAGAGUCCCAGUAAGUACUGUGUAGAUGGGACACUUUCAUGAGGUACGCUGCACUUUCUAAGCUGUCCUGGGCUCUUGACAGAGUUAUAUCAAUGCCAAUGCCCGUGACAGAAGCCAUCUCAUCACUGCCAGCUGUCAGUCACUGUAGUAUGCUCAAGGAAGGCAGACACUUGCGCUCUCUCUGUCUUAUAUCCUCGAGGGAAUCAUAAGUGUUCUGUCCCUAUUGAAGGGCCUCAUUUCCUCCUCCAUGACUGGGUUCUGCGUGGACAUGAUCUAGCUCUGGCUAGAAGGAAGACUUUCCUUCUUCAUGGACAGUGUUGAUAGUAAACAUGAGAGCUGUGACUUAUUUGUCCUGCUUCCAAAUCAGCCAUCUUUGGAACUGCUUGCCUCAUGCUGCUCUGGUUUGUGCAGUGGUAAAGGCCUAUUGUGGCAGUCUUUACUCUUUGGGGUGCUGUUCACUGUGUGGAAUGGAUUGAGAAAAUAUUGGGUUCUGCCAAGAUGAAGGGAGGAACAUCUUUUGUUGGCACCAACUUUAUGUGCCAACAUAAAGGGACAGAAAGAUGGCAGAGAACAGAUCUCAGUCUAGUUUGGCCAAAUUUGCAUUGUUGUUCAAGUCUUGCUAGAGAAGACUGAAGAGCUUUGUGUGCCUAAUCUUAGGACCUGAAAAUCAGGAUUUCCUGUGAGUCCAGAGUUUAUUCUGAGAAGGGCAUAGUUGGUGUGAAAAACCUCCAAUGCUUCUGGAAGCAACAUGAAUUGGGUCCCUCGUUCCUAAGGAAUGUCUCAUAUUCCCCAGCACUUUGAGAGAUUUCUGCUUCCUGGACCUAUCCAUGAGCCAGUUUCUGGUGUCCAGAAUCCCAUAGGCAGAUGGCACUGACUAGAAAUCCUGCAGGACAAAGUGGGAAUCAUAAUUCAUACAGAAACACUGAGAUAAUGGAAUGGGGACCACUGUGGCCAAUGAGAGGAGAUAUGUCUUUUCUGAAGGAGGCAUCUACAAAUGUCCCUGUAAUUUUGGCUGUGUGGGAUAAGAGGGUACAGAAAUUCUCAGGACCUUUAGACAUCUGUGUCUCCUGUGGUCAAGGCCACUGUCAGAGAACUGAAGAUCCUGGAGAGAGAAGCUGCACACUGAAUGACCUAUCUACAUUUUGGCAGGGACGUGUGGUUUUUAAAGAUGUGGCCAUACAUUUCCCUCAGGAGGAGAGGGACCUCCUUGAGGAGUUUCAGAAAAGUCUGUACCACAGUGUGAUGCUGGAGAACUUUGCACUUUUGUCAUCACUUGGUAAGGCCCUCGCACUUAGCCCAGGGUCCUGGGCUGGACACUGUUCUUCCCCUUUUCCCUAUGGGCAGCUGUGUUCUCCUUACAGCCAGACUUUGGGCACUACCACCUCUCCUGGUUUCCUGGUGUAUGUGUUGUUGGUGCCCAGGCUGGGCUUAGCGGCCCCAUCCCUGCUUCUUUGAGUACCUACAGAAAGGGCUCAGAAAUCUUGAAGUCUGUCUAGGAGACCACUCCUACCUGGCCUGGCCCUGGUCGGCUCACUUUGUUCAAAUACAUGGACCCUUUGUGCCCAAGGCCUUCCCUCUUCUUGCUGACAUUUUUUGGGGGCUGCUUGUGCCAGAAAUUUCAGCCACCAGUGUGGUCACUACUUGUAGAAAACACUAGUUCUUUAAGACCCUCCUGUGAAAUGUUCAUGAUUUGAGAAUGUGGAUUUCAUGUGUUGGAUCACUCUGGGACAUGCCGGCCACUCUCUUUCCUUGUGUUUCAUUUAGUUGGCCUUUCCCUGUUCCAGGUCCCUAGGAGAUGCUCGCUUUGAGAAAGGGAGAAGGGCCUGGCUUUCUGACAAGAUAGACAUCACUCCAUCAAUGACAACAAGAAAUGGCCCCGGUGGUUUCGAGCUAGGAAAGGGCAUGUUAUCAGAGCUGGGUUCCAGUCACACUGGGAGCCAGGCCUAUGCCCAUCCUUGUAUGAUACCAGGGACACUGGUCACACCUAAUUUCUAGCUUUUUUUUCCUAUUGCCGUUUCUAAUCUUUUGGUUCCUGGCUCCCCACCACUUUUGGCUGGCUCUACCUUUCACCUAUUCCCUUCCACUACUCCCUUUUCAGUGCUCUCAACAUUUGAACUAUACCUAAGGUUUUGUGACAGGUGUUGUGGCAUCUGCACACAUCCUUAAAUAGCCCUUGAAUACCAACUACCAUGUCACAAUCAGACAUUUCUGGGUCUGGACACAAUCUGCUACACAGUGUUCACCAGUCAUCAUCACUAUGCCCUUGUUUAAAGCUACUUGCAGAAGAGUGGUUUGGAGACUCUGCCUCUCCUCCCUGCACUGCACCCAUCCUUGGGGCCUUCCUCAUCGUUAAGGGCCUCUCCCACCAUAAGCUUCCCAGGCCCAGCUCUGCAAGCAGGCCUUUCUCUCAUUGGCUCUCAGACCCCUUGCCUGUUAGCAGCCCCGUGGACUCAUUCAUGGUGUGUCUGACACUCAUUUGUGAUGGGGCUGCCCCAUCCCACCAAAAUCAUUAUGCUUUCACCAGCAUGUCUCUACUUACAGGCACAGAGCCCAGGAUGAGGAGGCACCUUCUGAGCAGGGUGAUUCUAUGGGAGAGUCACAGGUCAGGACUCCAAAGCCAGACCCAUCCACGCAGAAGGCUGAGCCCUGUGAGACGUGUAGCUCUCUGUUGAAAGACAUUUUGUUCCUGGCUGAGCAGGAUGGAAUGUACCCUGAUCAAGACACGUAUGCUUGCGGGAGAAAGCACUAGCAGCAAAAGCAUCAGAUUAGAGUGAAAUUUUCCAGAAAGGACAAGGGGAGGCCUUCAUUUGGGAAGAACUGCAGCGUCCACAUGGCAGAGAGGACCUUGACGUGCAGGGAAGGUGGGAAGGACUUCCCAGCCAGCUCAUGCCUUUUCCAGCAAUAUGCUCUUCACAGUGAUUGGAAGCCACAUGGAGACACUGAAGGAGGAGAGGCCUUUCAAAAUGGGCAAAACGAUUACAGGCGCACUCAGGAUGGGAAAGCCUUCAGCCAUAAUCCUAUUCUUGUUGACCAUGAGAAAAUCCAUACUGCAGAAAAGCCUUAUGAGUAAAGAGAACGUGGUGUAAGGCCUCCCUUAGAAACUCCCACCUUGAUCAGCACCAGAAAGUCCACAGUGAAGCCAGGCUUUAUGGGCACCCUGAAUAUGGAGUAUUCUUACCCAGAUACCGGGCCUCGGUGACCACCAGAAAAUUCACACCAGGCCAAGGCCUUUUGCAUGCACCUGCUGUGGGAAGGCCUUCCUUCGUCUGUCCCAACUCUUUGCUCACCAGAAAGUCCACUCGAGAAAGACCUUAUGGUUGCAAUGAUUGUGGGAAAUUAUUUAGGAACCGCUCCACAGUCGUUUGACACCAGAGAGUUCACACUGGGGAGCUGCUUGAUAAGUGCAGCAAAUGUGGGAAAGCCUUCACUCAGAAACAUAAACUUGUCAAGCACCAGAAAAUCCACAGUAGAGAAAGGGCUUAUGAGUGCAGCGGAUGUGGGAAAUUCUGGAUGGCUCCAUGCUUGUUAUUCAUCAGAGAAUUCACACUGGAGAAAGGUCUUAUAAGUGCAGCAGUGUAGGAAAUUAUUUAAUUGCUGCUGCACACUCCUUAGACAUUGGACAAAAAGGCCUUAUGAGCACAAGUAAGGUAGGAAAUUUUUGUGGUACAACUACAGACUCAUUACACACCAGCCAGUUUAUGUUGCUGUGACAUGAGAACAGCAAAUAUGGGAAUGACUGCAUACAACUCUGGCCUCAUUAAACAUUGUUGAGUUUGUGCUUGAGAAAUGUCUUCUGAGAGCAGUGAAUGUUGGAGCAUCUUUGGUCAAAACUCCUGUCCAUUUGGCUCCAAAAAGUUCACACCAGAGAAAGAACUUAUGGGUGCAGCAAAUGAAGAAAGACUUCAGCCAAAGGCUGCUCUGAUUGGCACUGUCAAGUACUGUUAUGUACUUAUGGGUUUUUUUCUUUUUAUUGUGUUAAAAUACACAUGCAAAAAAAAUUUGCCACUUUAAGUAUUUUAGUGUGCAGUCCAGUACUGCUAAGUACAUUCACAUUGCUGUGCAAUGAAUAUCCAGAACUUUCUUCAUCUUGCAUAGGUGAAAUUGUGCCCAUUAUUCAACAAUGCUGAUUCCUCUCUUCCUCCAGCCCCAGCAGCCUCCAUGCUUCUCUCUUUGAAUUUGGGCACCCAUGCUGCCUCACAUCAGAGGAAUCAUACAGAUUUUGUCUUUUUAUAAGUAACUUACUUCACUUACUGUAAUCUCAAGUUUCAUCUAAUAUGUGGCGUGUUUCAGGAUUCUUCCUUUUUAAAGUCGAACAGUACUCCAUUUUAUGUGUAUAGCACAUUUACUUUCUCCAUUCAUUCACCUGUUGAUGGACACUUACCUUGUUUCCACGUUUUGGCUGUUAAGAGGCUGCUGUGAGGAUGUCUGCACAAAUACCUCCUCGAGAUCCUGCUUUCCAUUCUUUUGGGUAUAUAGCCAGAAGUAGAAUUGGUGGAACAUAUGGUAAUUCUGUGUUUCGUGUUUUCAAGAACUGAGGAACUGUUUUCUAUAUCAACUGUACCAUUUUACAUUCCCAUUAAAGGUCCAAAAGUGUUCCAGUAUCUCCACAUCCUCCUCAGCAUAAUUUUAUUUUCUGUUUCAUGUUUAAUAGCAGGUGUCCUAAUGGAUGUGAGGUAGUAUUUCAUUGUGAUUCUAUUUAGUAUUUCCCUAAUGAUUAAUGAUCAUGUACUUCUUGGCCAUUUGUGUGUAUAUUCUUUGUGGAAAUGUCUAAAUGUGCCUAUUUUUUAAUCAGGUUAUUUUAUUGUUGAGUUGUAGCAGUUUUUAUAUAAUCUAGUUAGUAACCACUUAUUGAAUACAUGAUUUGCACAUUUUCUUGGCAUUUGAUAGGUUGCUUGUUCACUCUGUUGAUUGUGUCCUUUGAUGCACAGAAGAUUGUAAUUUGAUGUAGUCCAAUUUAGCUAUUUUUGUUUUUAUUUCCUGUGCUUUUUGUGUCAAUGCCAUGAAGUUACUUCCAAAUCCAAGGUUA